rnacentral:lncRNA from 1 species
CUCUCCCAGAGCACGCCACACCCGCGUCUCAUCCGGCAGCACGCCCUUCCUCUCACGUCUACCUACCCGCGCCCCCCCUUGAGGACCCCUUAGGUGUUCCUUAUAUUGCCAGUAUUUUUCAACACGUGUUCACUCAUCUCCCCGCCCCCUCAGUUCACUACAAUAUUAUAUAAAAACAUUUGGUACUAUUGGCAGUGUGGGCAGUGUGCCAAGUCCUGUGGAUACAAAGAUACAUACAUUUCUGACUAUAUGUUCACUAAUGAAGCAAAUGUGCGGUUACUAAGAAGACCCCCGGACAGCUCCAAUGAGAACUCCAGAAUCUGCAGCUGCCACUUCAUGGGAGGAGUGAAGUCUGCUGGGCCAAGUCUCUUCAGCUGGGACCGAGAAAGGGUUUCUUACCUCCAGGCUUCAGAUAAUGGAGUAAAGGAAGAACCUGAGGAGAAGGAUAUUGUGAGGCCACAGGGAGGUCCUGGAAGGCCCACUAAUAACUUAUCCCUGCUGAUAGCUACAUUGGACACUCCUGAAGGAGACGAGGCGGUGGAGGAGACCAGAGUGCACUUUAAAAAGGAGGAGAUGGAAUCUGCUGACUGUUUCUCUAAAACUGUUUUGUUAGGAAAUAUGAGAGACUGGUAAAAACAGUGUGGGCGUGUGUGUGUCUGUCUGUGUGUGAGAGAGAGACAAUGUAAAUAAAUAUGCUGUAAUAUAAGCUUUCUUAAUAAUG